GGUACGGAAAGCACGGGAGAAGGGAGUCAGCCGACUGCCUUGCAAAGCAGUCCUGCACAGCACAUGCGAGGUACGGAAAGCACUGGAGAAGGGAGUCGGCUGACUGCCUUGCGAAGCAGUCCUGCACAACACAUGCGAGAGGAACAAAGUCAAGGCAUUACGCAC